AUAUUCAAGGAAGAAGUCUUUGAUUUGCUCGAUUCAAAUCAUGCUGCUGUAAGACUUAAUUCAGACUCUGUACCCAAAUCUUCAACACCUGCUGCCAGAGUGCCGAUUCAAAUUUGAGAGAUUGCAGCAGGAGGCAUAACCCUUGCUGGCGUCACAGAGGCUAAGGUGAAGUCUAAAGAAAAAAAUGGCAUCAUAUUUGAUACGUGGUUCCUUGUCACGUGCAACAGCAAGCACAAAUAUGAAUAGGCAGACAAGUAUGCACUGAAAAAUGUUGGAAAUUAUUGGUGACCAAGUUAUACAGGAUACUCAAGCCAUAUGAUUUCAUUUCUGAGUUCUGUCAGAUAAGUCAUCCUUCUCUCCAUUAUUAUUGCCCAUAUGAUUUCACAUUGUUUGCUAACAAGUUGGGAAGCAACUAAAAUGCAAAGGGUUUUUUUGCAGUCUAGGCUAAGAAUUGUCAAGCUAUGAUUGGUAUUCUUAUUUAAAUUACGUGGUUGUUUAAUAUGGUUAGACGUGAAGGACCUGCAAGAGAGGUGGAAGUGGAACGCAUAAGACAAGGACUUGAUUUGUUUGAUAAUUACUUAUGGAUAUCUGAUCUACAACACUUGGUAAAUCCAUCCGUUACGAUUCAGUUGGGCCAAGGUGUAAUGAACCAGUUUGGAACAGGCGUGCAUGAACCAUCAAACCAGGAGCAAAGCAUAGCACAUAACUAUCUUACAAAAGCCCAUGCUACCUGCUGCCGGUGUGUAUGCAAUGCAAACGCAAUGGGGACGGAAUGGAAUAAUAGAAUGGGAUGCUAUGCCUAUGCGCCGGCGCCAGCGCUGCACCUAUGCGGAGGGAAUCCUUGACAAUUUUUUCUCUCUCACCACAGCCCGCAAAAGAGAAGAUUAGGUUGGCUGCAUGUUCAACAAUAAAAGGGUGUUUUGUCGAAAGAGGAGGAGACAUGCAGGCAGCUUUUUCCCUGCUGAGUUCACACAUGUCCAAAGGAGAAAGCGAAGUUUGUUCUAUUACGUUCACACAUGUCUAAUUAUUUGUUGUGUACUUUGAAAUACGUACAUUGAACAUGAAUAUUGUUCACCUCAAGGUGUAUAUCUGUUGACAUAUGUCAUUUACAAAUAUUUAAUAUGAUGAAAAUUGAUACUCA